AUAAAUAAAUUUUUUAUGAUUUAUAAAAUUUUUUAAAAAUUUAUUUUACAUAUAAAUUUUAGUGUUAAUUUUUAAAUAUUUUAAUAAUAUUUAAUUUAAUUAAUAAUUAGUAAUUAAUAUUAAAAAUUUAAGAAAUUAAGAUUUAGUAAAAUUAAAAUUAAUAACAAAUUUUGUGCCAGCAGUUGCGGUUAUACAAAAGUUAAAUUGAAUUUUAUUAGUAAUAAUAAAUAUUAAAUUUAUUUAAUUUAAAUAUUAAAUUAAUAAGUGAAAUUUUAAUUUAAUUAAAAUUUAUUUUAAUUUAUAUGAUUUAAUAAAUUUUAUUAUAAACUAGGAUUAGAUACCCUAUUAUUAAAAAAUUAAUUUAAAAAUACUAAAAUAGUAGAUAAUUAUUUAUUGGAACUUAAAUAAUUUGGCGGUAUUUUAGUUCAUUUAGAGGAAUCUGUUUAUUAAUUGAUAAUCCACGAAUAAUUUUACUUAAUUUAUAAUUUUGUAUAUCGUUGUUAAAAAAAUAUUUUUAAAUAAAUUUAAUAUUUUAAAAUUUAUAAUAAAAAUUAAAUCAGAUCAAGAUGCAGAUUAUAAUUAAGAAUAUAAUGGAUUACAAUAAAUUUAUUUAUAUGAAUAUUAAAUUGAAAAAUUUAAUUGAAAUUGGAUUUAAAUGUAAUUUUGUUUAAUUUAAUAAAAUGAUUAAAAAUUAAAAUAUGUACAUAUUGCCCGUCGCUUUCAUUAAUAAAUUGAAAUAAGUCGUAACAAAGUAGGGGUACUGGAAAGUGUUCCUAGAAAGAU
rnacentral:ncRNA from 1 species